rnacentral:lncRNA from 1 species
GCAUGCUCAAAUAAAAUAAAGCAUUAAGCCCCAAGAAGCCGUGGUUUACAGUGAAUUUAUAACAGCUAAGGGGCGUUAGGCACGACGUGAAGCAAACCCUCUUAGCUGUCUUCACAGGGCUUAUUGCUUUUAUAAAACGGUUAUUCCAUAUACGUAGUAAGGUUUCACAGAAUAAAACAGAGCAAAUAAAGUGUAAUGAUAUAAAUAAAAACAGUAUUCUUCCACCAAACAAUGUAGUUCCUCAGAAACAGUUGUGGUUCCAACAAAGUGGUUGCAGAGCAACACACAGAAGUACACAAAAGGUGUGUGUUUGUAGAGUAAUUUACAACAGCUUUGAACGCGGCUCAACCAAUCAGAAUCAAGGACCGAAACUAUCCGUUUUAUAAAUGUGCGAUUGUGUCCUGUUAGCUGGCCCACUCCCAUCACAAAAAGCAUUAGUUUGUUUCUUGAUGACAUUUUGUAAAUUAAAAAAAAAAAAAUGUUCAUCUUCAGAAUGUACUGUUCUGAUAGAUGAGAUAAACACAGGGAAGAUAAAUAAUUUGGCACCUUUAAUAUGACUAUUUAGUAUAUGUUAGCUUUCCACUUUUAAUAGUCUGCAUGCCUGACCAUAAAACUUUUUUAAAAAUUUUAAAUUUGGUCCAGUUUGGUAAAAAUUUGAUAAUUUCUGAAAUUGGCCUAGUCUUAUUGUCUGAUGAGUCAGUGGACAGUCUCCACAGUGUUUUUUUUUAUGCACAUUAAAACUGGAUAUCCUUAAACUCUUACUUUGGAAACAUUUUGUCUUCCUCUCAAAGGACGUUUUGGGAAGAUGUCAUUUGUAGGCCUUUAUUGAACAAGCUAGCGUUUCAUUGUUUUGUGGAAAUAAGUGUCACUUGUAAAUUGAAUUGCUUAUGUUGAUGCUUCUUUUUUUAAACCAUUUAUCAAGGGAUCAUGGAAGACGGUUCUGUACAUUUUGUUUUGUACAAUCCUGUGUUUAUGUAGUAUGGCUGAUAUUUCAGGGCUGUUUGUGUGCAAGAAGAAGAACUGCUGAAGUUUUGAGUUCCCACUGUUACGCAGAGUCCAAUGAAAAGAAAGAGUGAUGUUUCUGUGAAACUUCUUGUGAACCGUUAUAAAUAAAGAG